rnacentral:rRNA from 1 species
AUUGAACGCUGGCGGCAGGCCUAACACAUGCAAGUCGAACGAGUGGCGGACGGGUGAGUAAUGUCUGGGAAACUGCCCGAUGGAGGGGGAUAACUACUGGAAACGGUAGCUAAUACCGCAUACCAUCGGAUGUGCCCAGAUGGGAUUAGCUUGUAGGUGAGGUAACGGCUCACCUAGGCGACGAUCCCUAGGUGGUCUGAGAGGAUGACCAGCCACAUGGGAACGGAGACACGGUCCAGACUCCGAGGGGAGGCAGAAGGGGGGAAUAUUGCACAAUGGGAGAAAGCCUGAGGGAGCAAGGCCGCGUGUAGGAAGAAGGCCUGCGGGUUGUAAAGUACUGUCAGCGGGGAGGCGUUACCCGCAGAAGAAGCACCGGCUAACUCCGUGCCAGCAGCCGCGGUAAUUC